GUGGGUGUAGCUCAGGGGUAGAGCAUCGGUUUGUGGUUCCGAGGGUCGCGGGUUCAAUUCCCGUCAUCCACCCA
rnacentral:tRNA from 9 species